AGCGAACGCUGGCGGCAGGCCUAACACAUGACAGUCGAACGAACCUUUCGGGGUUAGUGGCGGACGGGUGGGUAACACGUGGGAACGUGCCUUUAGGUUCGGCAUUACUCAGGGAAACUUGUGCUAAUACCGAAUGUGCCCUUCGGGGUAAAGAUUAGUCGCCUUUAGGGUGGCCGGGGUGUGAUUAGUUUGUUGGUUGAGGUAAUGGCUCACCAAGGCGACGAUCAGUAGCUGGUCUGAGAGGGUGAUCCGACACACUAGGACUGAGACACGGCCCAGACCAAUAUGGGAGGCAGCAGAGGGGAGGAGUACCCAACGGGAGCAAGCAUAAUGUAGCGCAGCCGCGUGGGGGAUGACGGGAUUCGGGUUGUAAACCAAUUUCAGUAGGGAAGAAGCGAGAGUGACGGUACCUGCAGAAGAAGCGCCGGCUAACUACGUG
rnacentral:rRNA from 1 species